AUAAAUUAGGCUUUUAGGAAGUUUCAACAUGAAUACCUUUGUACCAUAAAUGUUCAUUAGAGAGAGGGUUUUGAUAAAACUUUAAUACUGUAAAUUGAGAAAAAAGAUUAAACAAUUCCUUGAGCAUUUAAAGGGAGAAUUUGCCAUCUUUUAUGUGCAUGCCUAAUCAGUGUUGAUGGUAAAUGCAGUCAAUUGAAGCAAUAGAUUCCUGAGUGCGUGCUUUAUUGACCGAGAGAGCCGAGGUCGCAGCUACAAAAUCUGUUGUUCUUCCUGCAUCCAAGUGCUGUCAUGUGACAUGACAGUGAUGCAGUUGGUGGCAGGAACAACCACAAGCUUUAUUUUACCUCUGGGUAAUCAGCGUACACUCUACAUGCCGCCAGAGAUAUUGGAUAAAGCGAGAUACCCCACUCAGCUCAGCUCUGAAUGUAUUGUCGUCAAUGAGGAAAAUGAACGUGAUCACAAUUUAUGGUCAAUUCUUUCGCCCUGUAGUCACUAAAGUAAAUAUUGGGUUCGUUUUCCACAAGCCACACAUCUUACCAACAUCCUGACACUAAAGCUGCAUUUUUCAUCCACACAGAUCAAGAGAAAAUUAACUUAAUAGAAAAUUAACCAUUGAGGGAGAACAGGCUCUGACUGGAGGAAGAGUAACCGUUUUCUUAACAUUGGAUAAGCCUACAGUGGGGUAUCUCCUUUAUCCAAUAUCUCUGAUGCCGCUCAAAAACAACAUUUUGUUGCUCUCUUGCUUGAAUUGCAAACUAUGGAUGCUUUUCAUUCUACUAAGGGUAUGUCCCUCACUUGCUUCUCUUCCUCACAUCUUAGCCCCUCCCAGCAAAGAUGUGAGAGAUGCAAGAAAGUCUCUUCUCUCCUUGUCUCCUCAAAUUGCAUUAAAAGGGUUGGAAAGUUCUCCAUGAUGGUGGAGGGUGAACAAUUUCACAGGAGGAGGGAGGAUGCGAGGAAACGCAAGUUGAUAAAAUGAAACUGUCUCAGUGAAAAUAGCAUCCCAAAAAUAUGAAUGAAGGCCAUGAUACAUUUUACUGUGUUUUGGCUGACUAAAAUAUUCAUUUGUAUUUAUUUAAGCCAGAGUAUAACUUUGCCGUUGCUGCAAGGCAGCUGUGCUGGAGGCCGAUGGAGACCUUCCAGAGCCUGAGCUGCUGAGAGGAAACACCGACUGUUGGUGCCUUUGCUCAAAUUGGCCUCCAAUGCCAACAGAAACAGAAUCAUUCUGCAGCAAUAAAUUUCAGUGUGAUGGAUGCUGGAGACCUUCAGGAUCCCGCAGAUAGACUGAAGAAGAUGACCAAGACCAGCAGGAUGGAGAGGGCAGGUCACCACUGAGUACUUUUUCACCUACCCUUUUGGGAUUAUAGCAUGCUGUGGGGUGCCACAGGCUGGAGUUGAACCCGGACCUCCCGUGUCAGGGACUUUGCACAAGAGACACCUGCUCUACCCACUAAGCCACCAACACCCCAUCUUUGGAUGCUUGAAGUUGCCUCUGUAGUCAACCCUGUGUUGAGGUAGUCUUAUGGUGGGUAACUGGCCUUAUUUUUCAUUUAGUGUUGGGAUGAAAUGCUCCCCAGCACCCUGACACUGCUUUUCUGCUGAAGAAAAACACUAUGUGGACACUGGCCCUUAGUUGUUAAGUUCUGCUUAUAACACAGUUAAUCAUCAUAUAUUUGGGCUAAUGAUCAGAUAAAAAAUGUAACACUGCUUAUGCAAGUUAUAAUGGGAUUUUUAUAUAUAAAAUUAUUAAGUGAAAAAAAUUGUCUUAAUCAAGAAUGAAA